UGAUCCGAUUCAAGGCUGAAACGCGUGAAGUUUGUUCUUCCUCGACGAUUCCUCUUCGUCAUCACCGGUCAAAUUUUCCGCAUUUCACCGUUACCGUAAUCCACUCUUUCUCUUUAAUUCUGAUUUAAUGGUUUCUUCCACCUUCCCCUCUAUCUCCUUCUAUAUAAAGCCAACCCUAACUGAAACUAUGCAGAAGCAGCUACAUCUACAGGCAUGGAAUCCACCGGCAUGUAACUAUUUGUCUUCUUCUUCUUUGAGAAAGUGUUUCACUUUCAUGGCUAUUAUAAUGUAUUUAAUGGAGUUUAGGUUCUGCUAUGAUCAUUUGUUUGCGAUUUUGGUUAUAAAAUUUGUAUUUUGUAUGUUGAAGUUUUUGCUUUUGGAAUCUAUGUUUAGAGGCGUUUUUUCUGUGCCUGUGAAUAAUCCUUACUUGCGCAAAUCUGGAAGCGUAUACUCAUGAGACGAAGGCUUGCACUGCGACUUCGCGUGCCUGAUCUAUACCCUCCUGAGGACGAAGCUCACGGAGGAGCGCGUGAAGUCGAUCGUCUACGACGCGGUCGAGAUCGAGAGGCAGUUUGUGUGCAACGCGCUUCCGUGUGCGUCGGUGGGGAUGAACCGUGAGCUGAUGAGUCAGUAUAUCGAGUUCGUGGCAGAUAGGCUUUUGGGUGCGCUUGGGUAGGGAAUGUGUACGGUGUGGCGAAUCUGUUUGAUUGGAUGGAGUUGAUUUCACAUUAGGGGAAAACGAACUUCUUCGAGAAGAGAGUUGGUGACUACCAGAAAGCUUCUGUUAUGUUUAGCGUUAAUGGAGGCGGCGCGUUUGAUAAUCAUUGAAACUCAUGGCUACGUACUAUUGCCAAACUGCGAAGCCCUUUUAGUCCUUAGCAGCCUCAAGGUUGCUCUGUAUGUUGGUGGUCUUUAUAUUUGUGGAAAGAUUGGAUGGGAAUCUUUAAUGGAAAUGGGACAAGACACACGAGAACUGUCAAGAAUGAAGAGGACAGUCUAAAGAGGAAGGUAAAGGAGACUAUGGAGAAAGCUUUCUGGGAUAGUGUGAUGGAAUCAAUGAAACUGGAGGAGCCUGGGACGAGCUUUGCCAGAUGGUGCCUGAUAGCUGGAAAGUGGAAAUAACCGAAACUAUUGAUCUUGACCUUCUCUCACAGUUGCUUAACUCUGGCACCUUGGAUAUUGAUUACCUUGGAAAGAUGCUUGAGUUUGCAUUAGCUACUCUUCGGAAACUCUCGGCUCCAGCUAAUGACCGUGAGAAUGAAAGCACCCACCAGAGUUUACUGGAGGAACUUCACAGGUUGUGUCAAGCUUGAGUCUGGUAGCCUCCAUGCUGUUGCAAUUGUCAAGGGGAUCCGCUUCAUUCUUAAAUGUGUGAUGCAGAGGAAGGUAAAGGAGACUAUGGAGAAAGCUUUCUGGGAUAGUGUGAUGGAAUCAAUGAAACUGGAGGAGCCUGGGACGAGCUUUGCCAGAUGGUGCCUGAUAGCUGGAAAGUGGAAAUAACCGAAACUAUUGAUCUUGACCUUCUCUCACAGUUGCUUAACUCUGGCACCUUGGAUAUUGAUUACCUUGGAAAGAUGCUUGAGUUUGCAUUAGCUACUCUUCGGAAACUCUCGGCUCCAGCUAAUGACCGUGAUAAUGAAAGCACCCACCAGAGUUUACUGGAGGAACUUCACAGGUUGUGUCAAGCUUGAGUCUGGUAGCCUCCAUGCUGUUGCAAUUGUCAAGGGGAUCCGCUUCAUUCUUGAGCAGAUUCACGUCUGUAUCCGUAAUACUUAUGUGAAUUAUUUUAGAUAAAUAGUUUUUAAUACUAAACAAGUCAUGCUCUUAACUAAAAUAAAUUAACUUAUUAUAUAUAUUUAUUUGACGAACAUCAAAUUUAUUUGAUUUA